rnacentral:ncRNA from 1 species
GGUUUGUAUUGUUGGGUUAAAAGGGAAACAGGUGUGAAUCCUGUACGAUCUCGUCACUGUAUUUAAGGAGUAUGAAACUGUGUGCGAUGCACAGUCACUGGGAAACCGGGAAGGCUGUUUCAUAUGUUGAUUUAUAAGCCAGGAAACCUGCCUGCUAU